rnacentral:rRNA from 1 species
UACGUAGGGUGCGAGCGUUGUCCGGAAUUAUUGGGCGUAAAGGGCUCGUAGGCGGUUUGUCGCGUCGGGAGUGAAAACACCGGGCUUAACUCGGUGCUUGCUUUCGAUACGGGCAGACUAGAGGUAUGCAGGGGAGAACGGAAUUCCUGGUGUAGCGGUGAAAUGCGUAGAUAUCGAGAGGAACACCUGCGGCGAAGGCGGGUUGCUGGGCCGACACUGACGCUGAUGCGCGAAAGCCAGGGGAGCGAACGGG